UACGUAGGUGGCAAGCAUUAUCCGGAUUUACUGGGCGUAAAGGGUGCGUAGGCGGAUUUUUAAGUGAGAUGUGAAAUACCCAGGCUCAACCUGGGGGCUGCAUUUCAAACUGGAAAUCUAGAGUGCAGGAGAGGAAAGUGGAAUUCCUAGUGUAGCGGUGAAAUGCGUAGAGAUUAGGAAGAACACCAGUGGCGAAGGCGACUUUCUGGACUGUAACUGACGCUGAGGCACGAAAGCGUGGGGAGCAAACAGG
rnacentral:rRNA from 1 species